rnacentral:lncRNA from 1 species
AGGACAUCAUCAUCCCCCAAAAAGGUUUCAAAAAUAAUAAAAAUUGGUUAUUGAAUUAAUUGAAAUAAAAACAGAAGUCAAAUGUAGAGUCAACCGAGAAAACUAGGCCAAAAAUAAAUCCAAAAUAAAUUAAAAAUGGGAAAUAAAAUUCCAAUAAAAAGUCAGGUUGACCAUGAGAAAUUGGUCAACCCUCAUCCCAAAAAUCAGAAUCUAAAAAUAAUUUUAAGUUAUGGAAAUAAAAUAAAUNN